rnacentral:misc_RNA from 1 species
AAGUCGUAACAAGGUUUCCGUAGGUGAACCUGCGGAAGGAUCAUUAUCAUAACGUAUCCACGUAUAAACCAACUUUAAAUUGAUGUGAAACGUAACUGUUUUAACACCUCGAGAUAAUCAGAUGAUUGCUAUACUUUAACAUUGUUUGCGUGAUUAAAGCAAAAACGGUUUAGUAUGGACCUGUGCCUGUAACAAGGUGCUAGCGCUGAUUAUUUGGAGUGUAAAAAAUUUAAUCAACUAUUAACCCAUUGAACCGAAUUACUAUAUUCUUAACUGAGUUAGUUAUUCAUUUUAAUUUCUAUUGUGUGAACUGAAUUGUCUACUUACUUGACACCGUCAUUGGUGGAGAGAAGUCGAUUAUAUUUACGAAACAUUAUAAAUUUCUAUGAACAACUCUUAGCAACGGAUAUCUUGGUUCUC